GUGUCAGCCGCCGCGGUAAAACGUAGGAGGCGAGCGUUAUCCGGAUUUACUGGGCGUAAAGCGCACGCAGGCGGCUUCGUGAGUCGGAUGUGAAAGCUCCUGGCUUAACUGGGAGAGGCCAUUCGAAACUGCGGGGCUUGAGGUUGGGAGAGGGGUGUGGAAUUCCCGGUGUAGUGGUGGAAUGCGUAGAUAUCGGGAGGAACACCAGUGGCGAAGGCGGCACCCUGGCCCACACCUGACGCUGAGGUGCGAAAGCGUGGGUAGCAAACAGGAUUAGAUACCCCCGUAGUCC
rnacentral:rRNA from 1 species